rnacentral:lncRNA from 1 species
GCAUGUGAAGCUGGUAAACCUGAGACCUUUAAAUCCUUCCAACCUGGAAAAAUGAAUACACCUGCUUGGACAAGGAAACCUAUGUUCAACACAGUGCUUUUUUUCCUCUUUCUUUAACAAUGCUGUCUACUAAAGUGAUGCCAGAAAGUGCUACCUGAAGCUGCAGUUGAUUUUGAUUGCGCUGGCAUGGUGAAUGCACACCCAGGAAGUUCUGAAUGUAGAGGACCUAAUUACUGUAUUAACGUGUAAAUAAGUUAACAGCUACAUGGAUUAACAAAAAUAUGAAUGUUCUGUGAAAAAAAAAGAGCAUUGCCAGAAAUGAUGUUGACUUUAUAUUGUGCAAGAUAAAGGUCACUGAUUGUUACACUGCGUUGUGGUAGGAAUCCAAUCCCAAAAGAAAGUCAAACCACUUGGGAUGGGACAGUAGUUAAUAUUUUGCAGUUGUACAAACUAGUUGGAGAUCAUGAACAGUUGUUUUCAGUUCCUUCAGCAGUAAGCUUCAGGAACUGAAGUUGUUGCAAAAUUUGUUGUGUUGGGCGUGUUUGAUGUCAACUGGAGUUAAAGAGUAUUCCCUCUUCACUGGAGCCCAGAGCAUUUCUGUGCUGAAUAAACCAGUCCAAACACCAUAACCAGCUGUGGCAUCAGUUAAGGUCUUGUGUAUCUGGCAAGGAGAUCUGGAUAGAUUUACAGAAUUUAUAUCAAUAAACCGUCUCACUUCCCAGGCA